rnacentral:rRNA from 1 species
GACGGGUAUCCGGCCUGAGAGGGUGAACGGACACACUGGAACUGAGACACGGUCCAGACUCCUACGGGAGGCAGCAGUAGGGAAUAUUGCUCAAUGGGGGAAACCCUGAAGCAGCAACGCCGCGUGGAGGAUGAAGGUUU